UUGCGGUACUUCGACCGUGCAAAGGUAGCAUAAUCAUUUGCCUUAUAAUUGAAGGCUAGUAUGAAUGGUUUGACAAGAAUAUAGCUGUCUCUUUAUAAUUUUAUAGAAUUUUAUUUUAAAGUGAAGAAGCUUUAAUAUAAUUAAAAGACAAGAAGACCCUAUCGAGCUUUAAAAAAAUCUUUAGAAAUUAAUUAAUAGAUGAUUUUAAAAAAUUAGCUAUUGAAUAUUUUGGUUGGGGCGACUAAGGAACAAACAAAGCUUCCUUGAACAAUUUAUAACAAUCAUGUAUUGAUCCAAAGUUUUUGAUUAAAGAAAUUAGUUACCGUAGGGAUAACAGCAUUAUCUUUUUUGAGAGCUCUUAUCGAAAAAAAGGUUUGUGACCUCGAUGUUGGACCAGAAUAUCCUAAAGAUGCAGAAGUCUUUAAGGGUUGGUCUGUUCGACCAUUAAAAUUU
rnacentral:rRNA from 1 species